UAGGGAAUCUUCGGCAAUGGACGGAAGUCUGACCGAGCAACGCCGCGUGAGUGAAGAAGGUUUUCGGAUCGUAAAGCUCUGUUGUUAGAGAAGAACGUUGGUAGGAGUGGAAAAUCUACCAAGUGACGGUAACUAACCAGAAAGGGACGGCUAACUACGUGCCAGCAGCCGCGGUAAUACGUAGGUCCCGAGCGUUGUCCGGAUUUAUUGGGCGUAAAGCGAGCGCAGGCGGUUCUUUAAGUCUGAAGUUAAAGGCAGUGGCUUAACCAUUGUACGCUUUGGAAACUGGAGGACUUGAGUGAAGAAGGGGAGAGGGGAAUUCCAUGUGUAGCGGUAAAAUGCGUAGAUAUAUGGAGGAACACCGGUGGCGAAAGCGGCUCUCUGGUCUGUAACUGACGAUGAGGCUCGAAAGCGUGGGGAGCAAACAGG
rnacentral:rRNA from 1 species